rnacentral:rRNA from 1 species
ACCUGCGGAAGGAUCAUUAAAGAGACGUUGCCCUUCGGGGUAUACCUCCCACCCUUUGUUUAUUAUACCUUUGUUGCUUUGGCGGGCCCGUCCUCGGACCACCGGCUUCGGCUGGUCAGCGCCCGCCAGAGGACCUAAAACUCUGUUUGUUCAUAUUGUCUGAGUACUAUAUAAUAGUUAAAACUUUCAACAACGGAUCUCUUGGUUCUGGCAUCGAUGAAGAACGCAGCGAAAUGCGAUAAGUAAUGUGAAUUGCAGAAUUCAGUGAAUCAUCGAAUCUUUGAACGCACAUUGCGCCCCCUGGUAUUCCGGGGGGCAUGCCUGUUCGAGCGUCAUUACAACCCUCAAGCUCUGCUUGGUAUUGGGCUCUGCCGGUCCCGGCAGGCCUUAAAAUCAGUGGCGGUGCCAUUCGGCUUCAAGCGUAGUAAUUCUUCUCGCUUUGGAGGCCCGGGUGCGUGCUUGCCAGCAACCCCCAAUUUUUUCAGGUUGACCUCGGAUCAGGUAGGGAUACCCGCUGAACUUAAGCAUAUCA